ACUUGUGUCGUCGCCAGACUUGUGUGUGCGCGUGUGUGUGUGAAGGAAGUGGGGGGUGCAUGCAUGUGGGAAUGCAUGUGCUUGUUUAUCUGUGUAAAAGCACGGAAGGAACGGGAGGUAGGGAGGGUGAGAGAGGGGGAGAGAUUUGUAAGGCACUUGUAUUUGCAAACUACUGGCUGAGUUCCCACUAGAGGCAGAGAGAUCACGCUGAAAGACUGCGUGUCAGGAGUGUGUGUGUGUGUGUGUGGGAGAGACAUGCAGACAGUGAGCGAGAGGAACCCGUUCAACUCAUUUCAGCAGUGAAUUCUCAGCCCGUCUAAACGAGCUUUCUCCUCACAUAUGGAAGCUUUUUGCUCUCGCGUUUGAUUUUUCCCUCCUAACGUCGCCACAGUUUCACGCUGCCGCUGAACUUUUGGUCGCACUUGACGUAAGUAUUUGAACUCUUCGUCUGUCUUUUUCAAUUCCAGCGUGACGGAUUCAAGCAUGUUUUCACUCUUUCUGCUGUACUUUCAAAUUGGAGCAUGAGUCCAUUCAAAAUCUCACUCAAACUAACAGCUGCUAUUUUAUUUAAACAUUUGUUAAACUAGUAAAAACAAGAGAAAGAAAUGUUUUCAUUUCCAGCUAAAGCAGCACUCUUUACCUGGUGCUUGGUACGGUUCGUCCAAAACUGUGAAAGCAGACAGAGGCUGUGUGUGUGUGUGUGUGUGUGUGUGUGUGUGUGUGUGUGUGUGUGUGUGUGUGUGUGUGUGUGUGUGUGUGUGUUAGGGGGGGCAGAGGGAUUAUGUGUGCGGGACAAAGUGUGCAAAUUGUGAAGCGUCUGCGUGUCUGUCUGUCUGUCUGGAUAUUCCUUUUUCUUCACCUCAGCUUGCUCUGUGGGAAUACGGGGCUCGUCAGCAGUGUUUGAGUGGGGAGGAACUGAGGCAGACGGCGCACAAAAGCAAGCAGAGGCCGGCCAGACAGGGCAGGUCAGCCAUUAGAGGCUGCAGUGGAGGGACGGGUCAGCCAGCUGCUGCUGCUGCUCCGUGAGGGGAAGGGAGGUGACACCCCGGCUUUAGCACGAGGGUUAGAGUGGUCGGGGUUAAGGGGGUGUCCACGCUUUGCUUCAUGACCGCCUCUCGGCGUGCUCACCUUGCAAUUCUCCCGCUUUGAGAAACCCCCAGAAUGCUUUGCUCAUUCAGCAGGCAGAGGAUGCAUCAGUUGAAUGAGCUAAAAAUAAUUUGCCGUGCUGUCACAGUUAAAUGUUCUCUUUGUGUAGAAGAAAUACUGACGCUGUCCAAUUCAAAAUGUCAAUAAGUUAAGAAAGGCAGCAAAGGAAGAGUAAAUGUAGGAGGUGGUUUAAUAUAGAUGCUGACAAAAGAGGAAGGAUAAAAGAAACUGCGAUUUCACACAGGCUGGUUUUUUCUAUUCCCUUUUUCGUUGGUUCCCCCGCCAGCUCGCGUGGGGGUCGCUGGUUUUGGAAUGCAUUUGGUAACAGGAAAUGCAGGCCGUCCCAGGUUUUUUUUGUCCCGGUCUGCUUUUGUCCAAAGCUUUUAAUCCACUGCAAAAAAAAAAAAAAAAAAAAAAAGCUACGUGCGUGAGGGGUAGCAACAACAACUGACAAAAACAUCUCCCCGGAUCACAGAUGUGCAUCAUGGCUGCUGCAGGAAAACACAUCCACAGCCCUCACACGGGCUUAACACCAGCUCGCACAUACAGACGCUAAAAUAAAGUGUGGGCUGGUGAUGACAAAGAAAAAGCAGCUGUUACAGACGAGUGUAAUCGCUUUAGGGCUAAAACCGACGGUGACAACAAAACAGUCGCGGUCUGGAAAAGAUUAAUUUCAAAUACAGAAGUGGACGAGCACAGAGUCGUUCUGUGAAAUGCCUCUACAUGUAGAGUCUUGUUAGCCAGAUACACAUCUCAGCCCUCACCACCGGCAGCUGAUGUUGUACACUCUGUAGCCUCCAAUCAACACGAGCUUUGAGUGGAAACUACACUCUUCGGCCCACAUGCAGCUGCUAACACAAGGGUUUUGUCUGCAUGCGAGGACUUUGUUGACUGUUACAGGAUCGCAUGUUACAGAGUCCUGUGCUGACAGACUGAUAACGUGAACUCGAGGGAUUCUUUGUGUUUUUUAGGAUUCUUGGUGCUUCGAGUCCGGUUAUCACUUGUUGAUUGGCUGAUCAGUUCAGGAAGGCAGCGGUUGUGUAAGUGCGACCUGUGCUCUGGAUGGACUUUGGUCCCAAGCUUGGAGCUGUGUAAACCCCUCUGUGCCCUCGCAGGCCCGUGUGUGCGAUAUACAUACACACAUGUGUGUAUAUGUGGCUUUGAAUAGAAACCAGACAGCGAUGCCUCCUCCACCCCUCCCAUCCACCUCCUCUGUCACCACUCCCGCGCGGGACAAUGAGGAUUUGUUGACGCUCUGCCACAAGCCUGCUGACACAAAGCGUAUAGCCUCCCCAGACCCCAGCCCGGAGCGGAGCAGGCUGAAGCGUAGGCAGGCAGGACACCAGCAGGAGGGCCCCGGGAUUGGGGGGGACAGUGGGGGCAUUUUGCAGAGGUGGGAUUAGCAGACGAGAGCUCGGGGUUGGGGGAAGGGGGCCCGAAAUGAACAGGAAAUUACAGCCUUUGAUGAGGCAGAGGCAGAUUUGCGCAGGCUGAACUCCUCUGGGCCUUUUCCCUCUGCUUAAAAAAAUCCUGUUUGAGCUGAAAAUGUCAAAACACUUCAAGCCCGCCCCCCCCUCAACACAUGUGUCAUUACCCUCCAGCUAGGAUGGAGUUGUUUUCUGUACACAGGUGCUCAGCAAACACUCACAAAAAAAGUUUGCUAUUUUCCCCUCCCCACACCGCUGCUUCCUACUGACGCCCCCUCCCUGGCCUUUCCUUUCCCUUCCUCUUCCUCCCUUCAGACGCCAACCGUGUCAUGGGAAUCCUGUUAAGCUGUGUGUCCAUUCGACCCAUUUUCAGCCACUGGAGGAAAACACACAGCUCAGUCCACAUCACACUGCAGAAAAACUGCAGGCCCGGCAUUUGAAUCCCGCCUCUCAGAUAAAUAUUUUAAAAGUGGAGAUUAAACACAUCAAAGGAACAGCAGCAGAGACGGUGGGAUAAACGCACGUUCGGCUGAACGUGACAGCAGCGCCGGCUCAGCGCAGACACUCCAGUUUUCUCGGUAGUUUAGUGAAAACGAAGACGAUGGCGCUCAUCGUGUCUGCGGGGCUAUUAAAGGAAACCACAACCUUUGCAUCACCGCCUCUCCUCGCUCGCUCCUGCCGGCUUCUCGUCACUCGAGGUUGCACGCCAACAAGGGUGGUAACGUGCUUUGGCAUGGAGGUGCUCCACGCAGGCCAAGACAAACACAGCAGCGCACACUGACAGACACCGAGGCUUGUGAAACAGCACAGCUUGUCGUUUUUGUGGGAAAUUACCUUCAAAGUUAAUAUUUCUCACCUUUAUAACCACAUAACACAGAAACGACCGGCACACCUGACGUUAGAGCAGUUUUAGGGAAGACGUGUCUCUGUGUGAGACAAAUAUGGAUUUUUCAAAAGCUCUUUACUACCCGACAGGUAAUAAUUUAACAUGUACUGCAUGUCUCAUUAAAGAGCUGCAAUAAGCAGACAGUAACUAUCCAGCUGCUCAGAGUUUGAGGUAGUUUAAUUCGAGCGCUUCGACAGACACCUUCCCUUAAACUGCUGUAUGAUUGCAGCAAAUAAUCUAACGUCAAAAUAAAAAAGACAUCUGACACUCGUGACCACAAAACGGCAACUUCCCCAAAAAAGCUGUGAAAAUAUCAGUUUUUUAAAAACGACUCGUAUUUAAUGAUACUUUUGGGAUUUUAACCCUUUAUAGAACAGCAUGUUUGCACACCCGUACAGCUGCUGAUGUUUAUUAUUAAAACUAAAAUUAUUUCAAUAAGUAGUAUAGGAUUCUUGAGAUAGGUCAUUGGCAGCAACAUUUCAUAUAUUAUUACAAUAUUAACCCUUUAAAGAGGGACUCCAGCUGAGGUGGAGCAAACGCACAGGCUGGUCUUUGCAUGGAAGCUUCCGGCGCUGCUGCCAGCUCUGCUCUUUCUGUCCGUGCAAAAGUAACACCGCUGAUGAGAGGGGCUCGCAGCAGCACCCUGCAGAUUUAAACGGAUUCAUUUUUUGACCUGUUAACACAAACGCAGUUAGUCUGUGUCCACAUAACCCACUGAGUGAGUCCCGUGCAGGUUUGUCAUGGCCACAGUUUGCUGCAGGAUUUCAUGCAUCAGCAGCAGUGCAGAGCUGUGGCAGGAGGUGUACGUCCCAGGAUCAAACCUCUGGCUGCUGGGACAUCGCAGGGCGUUGCAGUCUGAGUGCGAGACCAAAACAUGGAGAUGGAGAAGUCCAUCCUGUCACUGAGUCAGGGUUGGACUCUAGCUGGUCUGUUUCUACCUGGCAAAUACGAGUUAUAGUCAUUUAGCACAGACAAAAUAGCACGAAGAUAAACCACACAAUGUCUCCGGGAUCAUCCGAGGCUGAAACAAAUAAAUAUCAGAUAAAUGCAGAACUGCCCACUGUAAGAAACCACUACAGUGAGGUCAGGUCUGUCAAAGACCUAAAUCGGAUGAGAUAAGCCGCAUAUUCUAAUUAUGUUAGCUAUAAGCUUUGUAAUAACCAGAUACUCCAGCCUUUUUAUUUAGCUAGAAAUUGUUCACUCAUUAGCUAAUAUUAUCUACAGAGCUAGCAGUAGCUACGACCCAACAUACACCGUCUGAUGAGCUAACGAUAUCAUCCCAGGUAAACAAUGUUUCCCCAGAAGAUCUGUUAUCAAUGAUUUUACCUACUCAGCUAGCAACCACAGGCUAAUGAAGUACAGUACAGUAGCUAACUUCAUGGCUAUCGUUUCUGCAAUGCUAGCAUAUAGUAACAUUUAAAAGAAAGCAAUGCUAAUAAACUCAAUGUUUAUUGAUAGAGUUAACCAAAGAAACAGCACACACGCUAAUUUUGCUGACACAUUGCAACUAGCUUCUCAAGUAUUCUGCUGACUAUUAGCAAAACAAACUGAAAGACUGACACUCUGUAACAUUAACAGUCAAAAAAGCAACAUUGAUUCAGAUAAAUUCAGCUUAUUCAGUUGAAGGCGGCGUUAAUUCACAACUAUUCAUGUCUAAAAAUGUUAUUCAUCUCUUCAAGUCCUCGACUGAAAGAGAGAAAAUGCUACGGAGGACCAGACAGAAACAGCGAGCGACUGUAUUUGAUCAGGAUGAAAAUAUGAUGACAAAGCUGUGGCUCAAUAGAUCUGGACAGACAAGUGUUACUCUAAUCUAUAUUUUGAAAAUGAUCUCUUAAGUUUGUCAUUUCCCCGUCUGUGAUAAUAAAAAUGUCAUCACGUA
ensembl:lncRNA